AGAGCUAAGCUAAAAACUUUUUAUUCAUUUAUAUAUUUCUCUAGCAAUGGGACAUCCUAAUAUUUUAAGAUAUCAAUUAUGUUGUAAAAUAGGCGCUGUUCGCACAAUCCGCUUUAAUUGUAUGUUUUGUAAACUAAUUAUAUUGUAAAGCUCUUUGUUUUUGUUGCUAAACCCUUUUAUUUACUUUUAGUUGAUGGAAACUAUUGCAUGACCGGUGGAUCUGAUAAAUCAAUGAAAUUAUGGGGAUAUUAGAUUCCUCGGCAAUCAUCGAUCUUGAAGACUUAUAUGGGGCAUGGAUAUAAAGUCUUAGAUGCUUAAUCUUCAGCAAAUAGCUCACAUAUAGUAUCCGGUGGAAUGGACAAAAAGCAUUUUUUAAUGGGACGUUAGAACAGCUCAAAUAAUAAGAAAGUUUCGACGUCAUGCAGUUUAGGUCAUGACGAUGCUAUAAAAUUCAACGAAGAAUCUAGUUUUACUAUCUGCUUCAGUUUAUAAUACUGCUUGUGCAUGGGAUUGCCUUAGCAAGUCUCGCGAGCCUGUUCAGUAGAAUCAUGGCUGUUGAGAGUGCAGAUGAAUUUUAUUGCAUUAUGGGUGUUCUCACACGUGAGAUUUUAGAGUUUGGUCUUAUGGAUGCAGAUAUGUUUGUUAAGACUAUGUGUACUCUUGCCAUAUUCCCUUUCCCUCAACUGUAAGAUCUCCGAGAUAGUUAUACUUAUAACAUUCAACCGUUCUCAUCUUCACUCUCAUCUGAUGCUGAACAGCAAAUAUUUUCUGGAGAAGGUGAUGAAGAUAAUGAGGAUUUGAAUACCACAAAAUGGUAUUUUUCAAACGAGCUUUAGUGGUACAAGAAAAAGGGUUCAGUCAACUGUGUUAACUUCACAAAAGAUGGUCUUGUCUUCUUGCUAGCAGUUUAGACAAUACUUCGCGACUUACAGAUAAAGACGGGGGUGAAGUGCGUUCUGAGUAAUUAUCAUUAUUUAUUUUAACUUUGUUAACUUUUAACUCUAAAAUUACUUCAGACAUUGAGUAGAUUUAUUUACGUUUCACUUCUUAUCAAGUUUUUGACAAUUUUACCAUUGAUAGAACCGACACAUCAAAAAACUGUUUUAAACUUAAUUAACUAAAUAUCCUUAUUAAUAUAAGUUUGUUAUUUUCACCUAAAAUUAGCUCAUUGAAGUAAUUUUAUGUAUUUAAAUCUUCAGUUACCACUUUUCUUGUACAGAUUAAACUUAUGUUGAAAAGUAAAUUUCUCAGAAAAAAAAAUAUCCUUUUUAUACGCAAAUGUACUUUAUAUAUGAACACUAUAUGCUAACAAAAGAUCUGCUUGCUGAAAGCUCUGUAAUUGUUAAGUUACUUUUAAUAAGACAUUUUAACUAUUGAAAAGUACCUUAAACAUUCUAACAAUUAUUUAUAUCUUCAUUCCUUUACAUAGAAUAAAAUAAGGUGAUUUGAAGCUCUUAAGUUUAAAAGUUAAAUUACUAAUUACAAAAUAUAAAAAAUUAAUGCUUUUAUCAGCUUUUUUUCUGAUUUUGUCAAUUCUGUUUUGAAACUGAUCCAAUGUUAUAAUUUGGAUUCAUUCCACUUUUAUUAAUAUUGUGCAGUUGAUAAAACAAAAUGCUGCAAAUUAUGAAAAGGAAAUAGAACAUUUUGAUUUCAAUAAUAUGAAGAUUAAAAUAAUAAUAACUCAACGUAAAGAUUUCAAAUAUUCUUUAGAAGAGUAGAAUUUUCUUAUAAAAUAAUAAAAAGAAAGUGAAGAUGAGCUGAAAUUUUGUUUAUGCUCUAAACUACACUUUCUACAUUGGCGUAAUUAUUCAUAAUAUAUUUAGUUAUAUUAUUAUAUAUUAGCAUAUGUUUAUUCAUUGGUGUAUAACUAUAGUUUAAUAAAUAUUAUAAAUAUAUUACUAAAACUUGUAUUGUAACUAUCAUUAGUUUUUAGCAAUUUUAAACAGUUUUUGGCAGUUUAUGAUACUGAAUAUGUUAAAGACCAAACCGUCCUUUCUCUUUUAAGAAAAAAUCAAGAAUACUUAUCUGUUUUUAGCAAUCAUUUUAACCCUUAUUAACUACAGUCAAUAAAAGGAAUGUAUUAACAUUUUUUAUUUGGUUUUUAUUUCUAUGUAAUAAAAAAAAGAAAUGAAAAUAUAUUAUCAAGACAAAUGAAAUAUUUGUGGAAUAUACAGCUUUCAUAAUACCUGAAACAAUUUUAAAGCUGUUACACUUACAUCAUUGUACUACUGUUAAGCCUUAACUUGCCAGAUCCCUUGGCCAAUAUACUGGCUUUUGCAGGAGUGCUUUUAUCAUAAUAAAAAUUUUUAUUGAAGGAAAAAUAAGAAUUAUAAUAGCAGAAUUUUUAUCAUAAAUACAAAUAAGUAGACUUGCAGUAAAGAAUUAACAAGAUUUUAUGUAUGCUGUAGUCUGUAUACAUCUUGUAAAUUUUUCUUUCUUUCUGUUUUUGAGCUUAGCAAAAAAAUUCAAUAAACCUGAUUAAUUGUCACCUUAUAUUUCAAUAAAAAAAUUAACAAUGUAUUUUUUUUUUGUUGCGCUAACUCUAUAAUAAAACUGUACACUAAUUUUCAACUUAUAUUUUUGUAAAAAUUGAGAAACUGCACAUACCUAUUUUUUUUCCUCCGUUCCACAUUUAAAUUGAUUUCUGACGCAAUAGCAAGACACUUCAGUGCACUAAUUGUCAACUUGUCUCAAAAGGGAUAAUUUGUUGUUGAAAAAUGUCUCUUCAUGUGCUGUUCUUCAUUUUAGUUACAAAUUCACCAUAUUCCUUAAAAUUUAAAACCCAGCUAAAGCAAAAUUAAAAUAAUUUUAUCCUAAAUCCUUAUAUUUAAGUAGAGUAGCUAGAGUAACAUUUUAUGUGCCACAUUGAUUGAGAGCUAAAGUUUACUAAAAAGAAACUAAACAAAUAUUUACCUCAUAGUCAUUAACAAAAAUUUAGUCACUAACUUGAUCAAGUGGAAUAUCAAAAAAGUGUGAUAGCUAUACUUGGCACUUCAUUAAAACAUCUGAGCUAGUUGAUAAAUAAUUUGUGCAACUUUGGCAUAGUUGUGUCUCUUGGUUGGGUAGAGGGCGGUUAAAAAAAUUAAACAUAAUGUAUUAAAUACUGCUGCCAUUUCAACAAAGAAACUCCUUCAACAGAUACUAUCUUUCGAAUCUUAAUUUCUGUCUUUCAGUCGAAUAUUGUCUUUCGAAUCUUAAUCUUAAAGGACUACUCUCGUUAUUUUAAAAUACAAUUGAGUAUAAUUUCAUUUAAAAUGUAUUCAUUUUUAGAACAAAAAUGUAUAAUUACCUCUGGAGAGACUUUUAGGUCAUUUAAAAAAGUGAAACACGGUUUUGUAUCUUAUUCUUGAAAUUUUCAGGUAUCAUUUUGAUAGUAACAGAAGAUUUAUGCUUAGUCCAUGCAAUGAAGGCACACAUAAGUUUUAUGGUCCCAGGAAACAAUCUUGCAAUGUUAUAUUGAUUUGUUAUUGAUCUGUUAUAUUGAAUGUUAUAUUGAUAGAAAUUUCAAUGAAGUUUUCACUGUUAAAAAUUGUUUGAAAUAACAGAAUAAAGUUUACUUUUUUUUUCUUUGAAAAUAUGUUUAAUUUUGUUAGUCUGGUUAUUGUGAAUUCAUGUGUUUGUUUAUUUAAUAGUUGAAAUCCAAAUAUUAAUUUUUUAUUUAAAUGCAGCUUGAUUCUAUUGCAUGGAAUUAUAAUAGUUUGUAAGUUUUAUUAUUAUUAUUAUUAUUGUUUUAUUUUUAUUUAUUUAUUUAUUUCCGUUUUAUCUGUCAUACUUAUUUUUGAAGCUUCUGAACUCUUUAUGCAAAAGUUUUCUAUAAAAUAUUUUAUUUUUUAAAUAUGUUGGCAGUAAAAAAUAAAGACAGUCACUUUGAA